rnacentral:lncRNA from 1 species
GGGUGUCGAGGUAUCAUAUAUAAGCCUUAUCGAGGGAAGCAAUGCAAUACAUUUAUUCUACUAUGGUUGAUAAAAUGGAGUGAGUUAAGGAUUCAAGUAUAUCUUAUCAUUAAUGAUGGAAAAUCCUAAGUCACUAGCUCGAGGUGGAUGUGCUCAUGAUGAUGGUAAUGUUGAGAGCCCUCUAGUGAAUAUUGAUCAAAGUAUGGCAUUGAUGAAGACUUAUAAGCUCAAGUGAAUAAUAUUGUGCUUUAUGCUUUCUUAAGUAUAGCUAUGUUGUACUAUCAACAGGGAUGCAACAUUAGCCAUUUUUUACAACACCAAAAGUGCUCUUAG